GUCUGAGCGGGAAAAUAAAUGCAAAAAACUUUCAACAACGGAUCUCUUGGUUCUGGCAUCGAUGAAGAACGCAGCGAAAUGCGAUAAGUAAUGUGAAUUGCAGAAUUCCGCGAAUCAUCGAAUCUUUGAACGCACAUUGCGCCCUUUGGUAUUCCGAAGGGCAUGCCUGUUCGAGCGUCAUU
rnacentral:rRNA from 1 species